AGAGUUUGAUCAUGGCUCAGAACGAACGCUGGCGGCGCGUCUUAAGCAUGCAAGUCGAACGGCAAGUUGGGUGCUUGCACCUGGCCUAGAGUGGCGGACUGGUGAGUAACGCGUGGGUGACCUACCCUUGAGAUGGGGAUAGCCAUUAGAAAUAGUGGAUAAUACCGAAUACGCUCAUAUUUCUGUGGAGAAAUGAGGAAAGCAGGCUACGGCCUGGCUCGAGGAUGGGCCCGCGUCCCAUUAGCUAGUUGGUGAGGUAAGAGCCCACCAAGGCGACGAUGGGUAUCCGGCCUGAGAGGGUGUACGGACACAUUGGGACUGAGAUACGGCCCAAACUCCUACGGGAGGCAGCAGCUAAGAAUAUUCCGCAAUGGACGAAAGUCUGACGGAGCGACGCCGCGUGGAUGACGAAGGCCGAAAGGUUGUAAAAUCCUUUUGCUGAUGAAGAAUAAGUGGUGUAGGGAAUGACAUCAUGAUGACAUUAGUCGGUGAAUAAGCCCCGGCUAACUACGUGCCAGCAGCCGCGGUAACACGUAGGGGGCAAGCGUUGUUCGGAAUUAUUGGGCGUAAAGGGCAUGUAGGCGGUUUCGUAAGCCUGGUGUGAAAUCCUGCAGCUUAACUGUAGAAUUGCAUUGGGUACUGCGAGACUUGAAUCACAGAGGGGAAACUAGAAUUCCAGGUGUAGGGGUGGAAUCUGUAGAUAUCUGGAAGAAUACCGGUGGCGAAGGCGGGUUUCUAGCUGAUGAUUGACGCUGAGGUGCGAAGGUGCGGGGAGCAAACAGGAUUAGAUACCCUAGUAGUCC
rnacentral:rRNA from 1 species